rnacentral:rRNA from 1 species
UGUUACCUACGGGAGGCAGCAGUGAAGAAUAUUGGUCAAUGGGCGAGAGCCUGAACCAGCCAAGUCGCGUGAGGGAAGACGGUCCUAUGGAUUGUAAACCUCUUUUGUCAGGGAGCAAUUGGCGCUACGCGUAGCGUUAUCGAGAGUACCUGAAGAAAAAGCAUCGGCUAACUCCGUGCCAGCAGCCGCGGUAAUACGGAGGAUGCGAGCGUUAUCCGGAUUUAUUGGGUUUAAAGGGUGCGUAGGCGGAAUGCCAAGUCAGCGGUAAAAUCGCGGGG